rnacentral:rRNA from 1 species
AGAGUUUGAUUCUGGCUCAGAGUGAACGCUGGCGGCGUGCUUAACACAUGCAAGUCGAACGGAUGAAAUAAGCUUGCUUAUUUCGUUAGUGGCGCACGGGUGAGUAAUGUAUAGCUAACCUGCCCUUUAGUGGGGGACAACAGUUGGAAACGACUGCUAAUACCCCAUACUCCAGCCUAUCAAAAGGUAGGUUGGGAAAGAUUUAUUGCUAAAGGAUGGGGCUUUAUGGUAUCAGCUAGUUGGUGGGGUAACGGCCUACCAAGGCAAUGACGCCUACCUGGUCUGAGAGGAUGAUCAGGCACACUGGAACUGAGACACGGUCCAGACUCCUACGGGAGGCAGCAGUGGGGAAUAUUGCACAAGUGGGGGAAACCCUGAUGCAGCAACGCCGCGUGGAGGAUGACGCAUUUCGGUGUGUAAACUUCCUUUUAUAAGGGAAGAUAAUGACGGUACCUUAUGAAUAAGCACCGGCUAACUCCGUGCCAGCAGCCGC